GACGAACGCUGGCGGCGUGCUUAACACAUGCAAGUCGAACGGAAAGGCCCUGCUUGCAGGGUACUCGAGUGGCGAACGGGUGAGUAACACGUGGGUGAUCUGCCCUGCACUUCGGGAUAAGCCUGGGAAACUGGGUCUAAUACCGGAUAGGAGCCAUUUUUAGUGUGAUGGUUGGAAAGUUUUUUCGGUGUAGGAUGAGCUCGCGGCCUAUCAGCUUGUUGGUGGGGUAAUGGCCUACCAAGGCGGCGACGGGUAGCCGGCCUGAGAGGGUGGACGGCCACAUUGGGACUGAGAUACGGCCCAGACUCCUACGGGAGGCAGCAGUGGGGAAUAUUGCACAAUGGGCGCAAGCCUGAUGCAGCGACGCCGCGUGGGGGAUGACGGCCUUCGGGUUGUAAACUCCUUUCGCUAGGGACGAAGCUCUUUGUGACGGUACCUAGAUAAGAAGCACCGGCUAACUACGUG
rnacentral:rRNA from 1 species